UACAGAGGUCUCAACCGUUGUUCGGAUUCAUUGGGCGUAAAGGGUGCGUAGGCGGUCGCGCAAGUCGGAUGUGAAAUCUCAGGGCUCAACCCUGAAACUGCAUUCGAUACUGCGUGGCUAGAGUGCUGGAGAGGAGACUGGAAUUUACGGUGUAGCGGUGAAAUGCGUAGAUAUCGUAAGGAAGACCAGUGGCGAAGGCGGGUCUCUGGACAGUUCCUGACGCUGAGGCACGAAGGUCAGGGGAGCAAACGGG
rnacentral:rRNA from 1 species